CCCUUAGAUGUUCUGGGCCGCACGCGCGCUACACUGACGAUGGCAACGAGUUUUUCCUUCGCCGAAAGGUGUGGGUAAUCUUUUGAAACAUCGUCGUGCUGGGGAUAGAUCAUUGCAAUUUUUGAUCUUGAACGAGGAAUUCCUAGUAAGCGCGAGUCAUCAGCUCGCGUUGAUUACGUCCCUGCCCUUUGUACACACCGCCCGUCGCUACUACCGAUUGAAUGGUUUAGUGAGGACUCCUGAUUGGCGCCGCCGCCCCGGCAACGGAGCAGCGGACUGCCGAAAAGUUGUUCAAACUUGAUCAUUUAGAGGAAGUAAAAUUCGUAACA
rnacentral:rRNA from 1 species